rnacentral:lncRNA from 1 species
AUGGGGUUUGUUUUGCUGGUGUGGGGUGCCCUGCCCUGCCCUGCUAUGGGGCUGUGGGGUGCCCUGUCUGCCCUGCUAUGGGGCUUGUGGGGCUCUAUGUGGCUGUGGGGUGCCCUGCUCUGCUAUGUGGCUGUGGAGUGCCCUGCCCUGCUAUGGGGCUGUGGGGUGCCCUGUCUGCCUUGUUAUGGGGCUUGUGGGGCUCUAUGGGGCUGUGUGGUGCCCUGCUCUGGGGCUCUAUGGGGCUGUGUGGUGCCCUGCUAUGGGGCUCUCUGGGGCUCUCUGGGGCUCUAUGGGGCUCUAUGGGGUGACCAUCCCUUGUGCUGCCCCCUGCAGGUUCCAGAAGCACGUUCACACCUAUCGCAUCCUGCCCGACGAGGACGACUGCCUGGCUGUGCAGACGUCUCAGGGCGUCCAGGUUCGGCGCUUCAAGACGCUGUCGGAGCUGAUCUCGCUGUACCUGCAGCCCAACCAGGGCCUGGUGUGCACGCUGCUCUUCCCCGUCGAGAGGGACAAGGACAAGGAGGGCGCGGAGGACAGGGAUUACUCGGAUGGUGACGAUGAGAAGCCCCCGCUGCCCCCGCGCUCCAGCACCAGCAGCUUCUCGGGCUCCUCAGUGGGGCUCAGCCCCAGCAGCCCCGGAACAGGGGGGUCCGAUGGGGCGGCGGAGAGGUGAGGAGCAGCGCGGGGGAACCAUUGGACCCCAUAACCACAUUGUACCCCAUAACCCCAUUACAUCCCCACUGCAUCCCCAUAACCCCAUUACAUCCCCAUUGUAUCCCCAUAACCCCAUUACAUCCCCAUUGCAUCCCCAUAACUCCAUUGCAUCUCCGUUGCAUCUCCAUUACAUCCCCAUUGCAGCCCCAUAACCCCAUUACAUCCCCACUGCAUCCCCACAACCCAACUCCAUCCCCAUUGUAUCCCCAUAACCCCACUCCAUCCCCAUUGCAUCCCCAUAACCCCAUUACAUCCCCAUUGUAUCCCCACAACCCCAUUGAAUCCCCAUUGCAUCCCCAUAACCCCAC